GAGAAAGCGUGCUGCAUGCUCGCAUGCAAGGGCGCUUCCUCACUUGAGACGCUAACCUGAAUGAGCAAGAAGUGCGUUAGCACGGAUUGCGAAUGCAGGUAGGAGUGCGAAAGCGCGAUAGCGCGAAGCAAUCCGUAGGC
rnacentral:sRNA from 1 species